GUACCGUGAGGGAAAGGUGAAAAGAACCCCGGAAGGGGAGUGAAAAGAACAUGAAACCGAAAGCUUACAAGCAGUAGAAGGACGACUAUAACGUCUAACUUCGUUCCUGUUGAAGUAUGAGCCGGCGACUUGUAGGUAGUGGCAGGUUAAGGUUAUACCGGAGCCAUAGUGCAAGCGAGCCUUAAUAGGGCGUCGUCACUAUUUACAGACCCGAACCCGGAUGAUCUAACCAUGGCCAGUGUGAAACUUGGGUAAUGCCAAGUGGAAGUACGAACCGACUGUUGUUGAAAAAACAGCGGAUGAGUUGUGGUUAGGGGUGAAAUGCCAAUCGAAUCCGGAGCUAGCUGGUUCUCCCCGAAAUGUGUUUUGGCACAGCGGUUAAUGUUUGAGUUCAGGGGUAAAGCACUGUUUCGGUGCGGGCUGCUAACGCGGUACCAAAUCGUAGCAAACUAAGAAUACUGAACAUUAUAGUUAACCAGUCAGACUGUGGGGGAUAAGCUCCAUUGUCAAGAGGGAAACAGCCCAGACUACUAGCUAAGGCCCCUAAAUUAUGGCUAAGUGAUAAAGGAAGUGGGAAUUCUAAAACAACCAGGAGGUUUGCUUAGAAGCAGCAAUCCUUUAAAGAGUGCGUAAUAGCUCACUGUUCGAGUGAUCCUGCGCCGAAAAUGUACGGGGCUAAGUCAUAUGCCGAAGCUGUAGGAUAUAAACAUAAUAAAUAUCGGUAGGGGAGCGUUCUAUACCGAGUUGAAGCGCUAACGUAAGUGGGCGUGGAUUGGAUAGAAGUGAGAAUGUUGGCUUGAGUAGCGAAAAUAUUGGUGAGAAUCCAAUACCCCGAAAACCUAAGGGUUCCUCCGGAAGGCUCGUCCGCGGGGGGUUAGUCAGGGCCUAAGCCGAGGCGGAAAAGCGUAGGUGAUGGACAACAGGUUAAUAUUCCUGUACUUUUUAUUACUGAUAUAGAGGGACGGAGAAGGCUAUACUCGCCGAAUGUUGGUUAUCGGUCUAAGUGUUCGAGGUGAUGAGAGACGGUGAAAACGUCUUGAGCUAAGGCAUGAUGGGUAGGUAUAGUAAUUAUACCGAAUGAGUUAAGGUCAGGCUUCCAAGAAAAGCUUUUAAUAUCGUAAGUAAUAAAAACCUGUACCCGAAACCGACACAGGUAGGUAGGUAGAGAAUACCAAGGGGCGCGAGAUAACUCUCUCUAAGGAACUCGGCAAAAUGACCUCGUAACUUCGGAAGAAGAGGUACCCUGAAAAGGGUUGCAAAAUCCAGGCUCAGGCGACUGUUUAUCAAAAACACAGGUCUCCGCUAAGUUGUAAAACGAUGUAUGGAGGCUGACGCCUGCCCAGUGCCGGAAGGUUUAAGAAGUUGGUUAUUCUUUGAAGAAGCUGAUGACUAAAGCCCCGGUGAACGGCGGCCGUAACAAUAACGGUCCUAAGGUAGCGAAAUUCCUUGU
rnacentral:rRNA from 1 species